AACGUAGGAGGCGAGCGUUAUCCGGAUUCACUGGGCGUAAAGCGCGUGCAGGCGGUUCGGUAAGUUGGGCGUGAAAUCUCCUGGCUUAACUAGGAGAGGUCGUCCAAUACUACCAGACUAGAGAGCAGUAGAGGAAGAUGGAAUUCCCGGUGUAGUGGUGAAAUGCGUAGAUAUCGGGAGGAACACCAGUGGCGAAGGCGAUCUUCUGGACUGUUUCUGACGCUCAUACGCGAAAGCUAGGGUAGUAAACGGG
rnacentral:rRNA from 1 species